GACGAACGCUGGCGGCGUGCCUAAUACAUGCAAGUCGAACGGUUUAGUUCCAAGAGGCUUGCCUUUUGGAACUAGACAGUGGCGGACGGGUGAGUAACACGUAGGCAACCUACCUGUCAAACCGGGAUAACCUCGGGAAACCGAAGCUAAACCCGGAUAAGCUCCUUUUUCGCAUGAAGGGGGAGUGAAAAGGUGCGACCUGAUGACAGAUGGGCCUGCGGCGCAUUAGCUAGUAGGUAGGGUAACGGCCUACCUAGGCGAUGAUGCGUAGCCGACCUGAGAGGGCGUACGGCCACACUGGGACUGAGAUACGGCCCAGACUCCUACGGGAGGCAGCAGUAGGGAAUCUUCGGCAAUGGGCGAAAGCCUGACCGAGCAACGCCGCGUGAGUGAGGAAGGCCUUCGGGCUGUAAAACUCUGUUGUUUGGGAAGAAGGGAAAGGGUAGGACCCUUUGGUGACGGUACCAAACGAGAAAGCCCCGACUAACUACGUG
rnacentral:rRNA from 1 species